ACCCAUAUCAUGUGAAACACCAGUUCCUGUAUGAUCACCCAAGUUAAGCAACGUUGAGCCCGGUGAGUUCUUAGAUGUGUGACUGCUUGGGAAUACUAGAUGCUGUAAG